AACGAACGCUGGCGGCAUGCCUAACACAUGCAAGUCGAACGAGACCUUCGGGUCUAGUGGCGCACGGGUGCGUAACGCGUGGGAAUCUGCCCUUGGGUUCGGAAUAACAGUUAGAAAUGACUGCUAAUACCGGAUAAUGUCUUCGGACCAAAGAUUUAUCGCCCAGGGAUGAGCCCGCGUAGGAUUAGCUAGUUGGUGAGGUAAAGGCUCACCAAGGCGACGAUCCUUAGCUGGUCUGAGAGGAUGAUCAGCCACACUGGACUGAGACACGGCCCAGACUCCUACGGGAGGCAGC
rnacentral:rRNA from 1 species